UGAGGGCCUUUGGCAGAAAAUUAUCAGUGUCAGAGUUGGUCUGAGGAGGUGACUCAAACUACUUGGGACCAGUAUGUACAGACAACAGGAUGGUCCCACCACAUAUGUUUAAGGCUCAUCCCAUUCAGUAGGCUGCUAUAACCCUACAUUUUGAAGAGAGUGGUGCACCUGUUCCAGAGGUGCAUGCCAGCACAGAAGAAGAUUUUUAUUAAAUGCAUUUUGACUGGAUCCUAACAGAUCACUGGUAUGAAGCCAGUAUCAAACCUUUGGUUAACAUGAAUUGCUCCGGGACCAGGACACAGAUAUGGAACUGGCAUGCCGUUUUCCUGCGUUGCUGCAAUACCAGUGAAGAGGCCUGCUUCAUUCUUUCCCAACUACAGAAGGUGACAAGUCUACUUUGGCCAUCAUCCUGCAGAGGACACCAGUAUUUCUUCUGGCAAGAUGUCCCAUAUUGUGCAAGCUUGCAACUAUUACCACAGUCACUCGGGGGGAGGAGGUUGAUUCUUCUCAUUAUUCAAGUUUCUCCCAUUAAUAAUUUAACUUCAAUUAAUUGAAAUUAACCAAGUUUUUCUGGCUAGCAUCAACAAACCAUAGACAAUUCAGUUAAGCUUCCACUGAGCAUAACCAUCUGGUCUCCUGAGGAUAAACUUUGUAUGAGCCACCCUCUGGUAUGUUUCAAGAUCACAAAAAUUGUUUUAUUCCAUAAUUGCUAGAUAUUGUAUUCUUGAAUGUAAUUGAUACUCAUACAUUGUGCUUUAAGGAUUUGAUUAUCUAACCACUGCAAUUUUUCAUUACAUAACCCAAGUAUUGUUGUUAUGUGCCUUCAAGCUGAUUACGACUUAUGGCGACCCUAUGAAUCACUGACCUCCAACAACAUCUGUCAUGAACCACCCUGUUCAGAUCUUGUAAGUUCUGUGGCUUCCUUUAUGGAAUCAAUCCAUCUCUUGUUUGGCUGCAACUAGGUCUUGUUUUCAGCACUGAAUUUAAAUACUGUGCUAAAUACAAGCCCCCUUGGAAUCAGCUGCCUUCAGGCGCUUCCAGUCGGAGUUUCCGAAUGCAGCUGAUUCUUGCCACAAACAAGGCUUGCUUUUGAUGCUCUGUUUAAAGUUCACAGCACCAAAUAGUUGAGUUUUGGGAUUGCCUCUGCUCAUAUGAAGCUGUCCACAGACUUCAGUCUUUAGAAAUGGCCUGGGUAUGUGUCCCACCAUUAUUAGAUGUCUAUGAGGGACAGGACAUACUUGGCAAUGGUGUCUCUAGGCAAUGGGAUGCCCCAUUACAAAAGGUCCAGCUAGACCCUCUUCAUUUGUAUUCUGGUGACCAUUUAAAUUAGUCUUUCAAAAAACUGCAUACAACUUUAUUUAUUUAGAUAAAUAACUUAUUUAGAUUUAUUUGGAUAAGUCUUUCAAAAAAUUGCUCACAACUUUAUUCUUAUCCUUGUAAUGGUUGCUUAGUGGUUUCAAUAGUUGCUGUUGG